rnacentral:misc_RNA from 1 species
GAUGAAGAACGUAGCGAAAUGCGAUAAAUAAUGUGAAUUGCAGAAUUCAGUGAAUCAUCGAGUCUUUGAACGCACAUUGCGCCCCCUGGUAUUCCGGGGGGCAUGCCUGUCCGAGCGUCAUUGCUGCCCUCAAGCACGGCUUGUGUGUUGGGCCCCCGUCCCCCCCUCCCGGGGGACGGGCCCGAAAGGCAGCGGCGGCACCGCGUCCGGUCCUCGAGCGUAUGGGGCUUUGUCACCCGCUCUGUAGGCCCGGCCGGCGCCUGCCGACCACCAUCAAUCUUUUUUCAGGUUGACCUCGGAUCAGGUAGGGAUACCCGCUGAACUUAAGCAUAUCAAAAGCGGAGGA